ACAAGCGGAGGAGCAUGUGGUUAAUUCGAUGAUACGCGAGGAACUUACCUGGGCUCGAACGUAAGAUGACUGUAGGUGAAAGCUUACAUCUCUUCGGAGCAUUUUACGAGGUGCUGCAUGGUUGUCGUCAGCUCGUGCCGUGAGGUGUCGGGUUAAGUCCCAUAACGAGCGCAACCCCUACCUUUAGUUGCCAUCAGGUAAUGCUGGGGACUCUAAAGGAACUGCCUACGCAAGUAGUGAGGAAGCGGGGAUGACGUCAAAUCAGCACGGCCCUUACGUCCAGGGCUACACACGUGCUACAAUGGCCGAUACAGAGGGCAGCUACCUGGUGACAGGAUGCAAAUCUCCAAAGUCGGUCUCAGUUCGGAUCGGAGUCUGCAACCCGACUCCGUGAAGUUGGAUUCGCUAGUAAUCGCGCAUCAGCCAUGGCGCGGUGAAUACGUUCCCGGGCCUU
rnacentral:rRNA from 1 species